ACGCCACGUAAUAUAAAUAUUUGAAAGGAAAGAGCAUAAAGUGGAGAAAUGCAAGGACAUCAAUUUGAAUGAUGCCCGGUUUGCUACCUGACACUACGGGAAGACGGUCAUGGCCGGGAAAGAACGGAGAGAACGUUUAAAGGGCAACUCCAACGAUUUUUUUAUAUCCACUGAUCUCAAUAUAAUUUUGAACAUAUGUUCUCUUCGUUACUCUGAUUAUCAGUGCUAAACAAUGCGACCACAAGGCACUUAGUUUCCCUGAUAUUGAGUUUUUAAGAUUGGUUGCAUGUUCCCAACUCAUUCCCAUGAAUAUAACUUUUUACUGGCCGCCCUGUUCUUGUGACGUUCGAACCUACAGCGCCGCUCGCGCAGCAGACUACGAAGCGCGUUCCUUCUUCUGCGGGACGGCAGCCUACAAUCAUCGUUUUGACAGACGCUCGUUGCUGCAAGCAUUCUUCUUCGGUUUGUAGGCAUUCUAGGCGAUAAAGCGAUUGGUGGAAGCUGGUGUUGUGCUGACGGUUACACGAACACAGCAGCGAAGACGAAGGGUGUCUGUUAUGACAGGUUUCCUUCCAACAGCGCUCUUCGGAAGAAGUGGCUUUGUGCUAUUUGGGUCGCCGACAGGUUCUCAAGCAAAAACGUGUCUGUUUGAUCGGAUCACUUCACCCGGAGGGCUAUAAAGGCUGCGUGUACAUGGGGAAAGCUUUUGGACUCGCAACGCCAAACUACCAUAUGUACUUGAAGGAAGGCGCUGUGUCGACGGAGUUCAUGUACACUAAGCCCAGCCAGCCUCUAAUACCACGAGGUACAGCGGUCAAGCGGAAAUGAACUGAGGGGUCCAGGUCAAUGCAGUGUUUGUUCAGGACAGCAGCAUCCAAACAAGUGACAUGCUAGCAGAUGUUUCCGAGUCACCUCAAGAGCAACAUCUGUGUUUGACAUCAAACAGAACAUCUAUGCACCACCUUUCGAUGCGAACGGGCGUGGCUACCUUCGUGAUAUCCCGUGUGCCUCUGAUGAAUUGGACCUUGAUGAGGA